rnacentral:rRNA from 1 species
UACGUAGGGGGCAAGCGUUGUCCGGAUUUAUUGGGCGUAAAGAGCGUGUAGGCGGCCAGGUAGGUCUGCUGUGAAAACUCGAGGCUUAACCUCGAGCUGUCGGCGGAAACCAUCUGGCUAGAGUCCGGAAGAGGAGAAUGGAAUUCCCGGUGUAGCGGUGAAAUGCGCAGAUAUCGGGAAGAACACCCGUGGCGAAGGCAGCUCGCUGGGAUGGAACUGACGCUAAGGCGCGAAAGCGUGGGGAGCGAACAGG